UUCCAGGGUCACAGCCUGAACCAAUGGGUGGGCUCUGUGAGUGUGAGUGCGGCGGCGCGGCGGUACGAACGGGGGAGGGACACAUUCCUCAGCUCGGCUCGGUCUGCGCGCUGCUACCGGGAGGGAAGCUGAGGUGAUAGACCAACAGGCAGCCACCAGACUUUCUGAACUCUGGCUUUAAGUAGAUGUUUUAAUUACAAGCUUGAGGCACGCAGAUAUUUUUUGGGCAGUCAGAGAAAGAUCCUCCACAAUAUCAUGGAAUCAAAGAAGUACAGCUGGAACUGACCUGAAAGCUCACUUAGUCCACCUUUCUGCACUAAGACAAGGCUAGAAAAACUCAGACUAUGUCCAACAGGUUCCCUUUAGGUACUGGAAGUCUGCAAUUAGGUCACCCCGCAGCCUUCUCUUCUCCAAGGUGAACAAGCCCAGCUUCCUAAGCCUGUCUUUGUAGGAGGGGUGUUCCAGCCCUCUGAUCAUCUUUGUGGCUCUCCUCUGGACCCUCUCCAAUAGCUCCCUGUCUUUCUUGUAUUGGGGGUCCCAGACCUGGACACCGUACUCCAGAUGGGGCUUCACAAAGGCAGAGUAGAGAGGGACAAUCACCUCCCUGUCCCUGCUGGCCACCCCUCUUCUGCUGGAGCCCAGGAUACCAUUUGCUUUCUGAGCUGCAAAAGCACUCUUGGAAUCUUCUGAUAUUUUGGAUAUAUUGCUGUUCUAUCAGAGCUAACCACAAGCCUGAAGAAAAUGGGAACUGUAAGGAGAGAAAACCAAUUCAAGCUAAUUCUGGAAGAGAUCUGAAAGCUGUCAGCAAGAGGAAAACAAUUUGAAGAAAGACAAGUAUUUGCUGUCAAGAGUUGUUAUCCUUUAAGAGGGCUGCUCUCAGAUUCUUGCAAUUUAUUGACAGCUAAAUGAAAUCAGGAAGCCAGAAUACUUAUUUGGCAACUCAGAGAUUUCUCCACUGUUAGAUAUCACCUGUAGACUCAAGCAGCAUUAUGAUGUAUGUUUUCUUGCUUCCAAGCACUAACAUACCUGAGAUUGGUUACAAAAGCCUGAGGAAACUCUUUUUCCUUUAACUUAAAAAUGCAUUCCAAAGUGUAAAACUUUAAGGUGUUGGUUUCCCCCUACUUCUAUUUUUAUUUCCAGCCGAAAAUAAAAGGAAACAGUGCUGUAUGAAAGUCUGAAGUCCUUAGGGAGAAGUGUUCAAAAACAAUCCAUAAACAUAGAAUCAAAAAUAAAUGUAACUUUAAAAUAAACUGAAUGCUUUCCCAUACUGUAUAGAAAAAAAAUUAAUAAAAUUAAUAAAAUCAAUCUUCA
ensembl:lncRNA